UCAGCCACACAGAGUUUGAUCCUGGCUCAGAACGAACGCUGGCGGCAUGCCUAAUACAUGCAAGUCGAACGAGCCUUUCGGGGCUAGUGGCGCACGGGUGCGUAACGCGUGGGAAUCUGCCCUUGGGUUCGGAAUAACGUCUGGAAACGGACGCUAAUACCGGAUGAUGACGAAAGUCCAAAGAUUUAUCGCCCAGGGAUGAGCCCGCGUAGGAGGAGCUAGUUGGUGAGGUAAAGGCUCACCAAGGCGACGAUCCUUAGCUGGUCUGAGAGGAUGAUCAGCCACACUGGGACUGAGUCACGGCCCAGACUCCUACGGGAGGCAGCAGUAGGGAAUAUUGGACAAUGGGGGCAACCCUGAUCCAGCAAUGCCGCGUGAGUGAUGAAGGCCUUAGGGUUGUAAAGCUCUCUACCCGGGAUGAUAAUGACAGUACCGCGAGAAUAAGCCCCGGCUAACUCCGUGCCAGCAGCCGCGGUAAUACGGAGGGGGCUAGCGUUGUUCGGAAU
rnacentral:rRNA from 1 species